GUGCUCGCUUUGGCAGCACAUAUACUAAAAUUGGAACGGUACAGAGAAGAUUAGCAUGGCCCUGGCGCAAGGAUGACAUGCAAAUUCGUGAAGUGUUCCAUAUUUUU
rnacentral:snRNA from 1 species